UACGGGGGGAGCAAGCGUUGUUCGGAUUUACUGGGCGUAAAGGGCUCGUAGGUGGCCAACUAAGUCAGACGUGAAAUCCCUCAGCUUAACUGGGGAACUGCGUCUGAUACUGGAUGGCUUGAGUUUGGGAGAGGGAUGCGGAAUUCCAGGUGUAGCGGUGAAAUGCGUAGAUAUCUGGAGGAACACCGGUGGCGAAGGCGGCUUCCUGGACCAACACUGACACUGAGGAGCGAAAGCCAGGGGAGCAAACGGG
rnacentral:rRNA from 1 species